rnacentral:rRNA from 1 species
UAAGGCUAAAUACUCUCUAGUGACCGAUAGUGAACCAGUACCGUGAGGGAAAGGUGAAAAGUACCCCGGAAGGGGAGUGAAAGAGAACUUGAAACCGUGUGCUUACAAGUAGUCAGAGCCCGUUAAUGGGUGAUGGCGUGCCUUUUGUAGAAUGAACCGGCGAGUUACGAUCUGAUGCAAGGUUAAGCAGAAAAUGUGGAGCCGUAGCGAAAGCGAGUCUGAAUAGGGCGAAUGAGUAUUUGGUCGUAGACCCGAAACCAGGUGAUCUACCCUUGGUCAGGUUGAAGUUCAGGUAACACUGAAUGGAGGACCGAACCGACUUACGUUGAAAAGUGAGCGGAUGAACUGAGGGUAGCGGAGAAAUUCCAAUCGAACUUGGAGAUAGCUGGUUCUCUCCGAAAUAGCUUUAGGGCUAGCCUCAAGUGAUGAUUAUUGGAGGUAGAGCACUGUUUGGACGAGGGGCCCCUCUCGGGUUACCGAAUUCAGACAAACUCCGAAUGCCAAAUAAUUUAACUUGGGAGUCAGAAUGUGGGUGAUAAGGUCCAUAUUCGAAAGGGAAACAGCCCAGACCACCAGCUAAGGUCCCAAAAUAUAUGUUAAGUGGAAAAGGAUGUGGCGUUGCCCAGACAACUAGGAUGUUGGCUUAGAAGCAGCCAUCAUUUAAAGAGUGCGUAAUAGCUCACUAGUCGAGUGACACUGCGCCGAAAAUGUACCGGGGCUAAACAUAUUACCGAAGCUGUGGAUUGUCCUUUGGACAAUGGUAGGAGAGCGUUCUAAGGGCGUUGAAGCAUGAUCGCAAGGACAUGUGGAGCGCUUAGAAGUGAGAAUGCCGGUGUGAGUAGCGAAAGACGGGUGAGAAUCCCGUCCACCGAUUGACUAAGGUUUCCAGAGGAAGGCUCGUCCGCUCUGGGUUAGUCGGGUCCUAAGCUGAGGCCGACAGGCGUAGGCGAUGGAUAACAGGUUGAUAUUCCUGUACCACCAUUAUUCGUUUUAAGCGAUGGGGGGACGCAGUAGGAUAGGCGAAGCGUGCUGUUGGAGUGCACGUCCAAGCAGUGAGAUUGA